rnacentral:rRNA from 1 species
AUUGAACGCUGGCGGCAGGCCUAACACAUGCACGUCGAGCGAGCGGAGGAAGGGCGAGUAAUGUCUGGGACACUGCUUGAUUGAGGGGGUUAACUACUGGAAACGUUAGCUAAUACCGCAUACCAUCAGAUGUGCCCAGAUGGGAUUGGCUAGUAGGUGGGGUACUGGCUCACUUAUGCGACGCUCCCUAGCUGGUCUGAGAGGAUGACCAGCCACACUGGAACUGAGACACGGUCCAGACUCCUACGGGAGGAAGCAGUGGGGAAUAUUGCACAAUGGGCGCAAGCCUGAUGCAGCCAUGCCGCGUGUGUGAAGAAGGCCUUCGGGUUGUAAAGCACUUUCAGCGGGGAGGCGUUACCCGCAGAAGAAGCACCGGCUAACUCCGUGCCAGCAGCCGCGGUAAUUC